rnacentral:rRNA from 1 species
GACGAACGCUGGCGGCGUGCCUAAUACAUGCAAGUCGAACGCAGUUGCGAACGGGUGAGUAACGCGUAGGUAACUGCCUCAUAGCGGGGGAUAACUAUUGGAAACGAUAGCUAAUACCGCAUACUGUGAGAUGGACCUGCGUUGUAUUCGCUAGUGGGUGGGGUAAAGGCUCACCAAGGCGACGAUACAUAGCCGACCUAGGAGGGGGGUCGGCCAACCUUGGACUGGGACACGGCCCAGACUCCUACGGGAGGCAGCAGUAGGGAAUCUUCGGCAAUGGACGUAAAUCUGACCGAGGAACGCCGCGUGAGUGGAGAAGGUUUUCGGGUCGUAAAGCUAUUUUGGGAGGGAAGCGGUAACGAACGAGAAAGGGCCGGCUAACUACGUGCCAGCAGCCGCGGUAAUAC